GACGAACGUUGGCGGCGUGCUUAACACAUGCAAGUCGAACGGAAAGGCCCUGCUUUUGUGGGGUGCUCGAGUGGCGAACGGGUGAGUAACACGUGAGUAACCUGCCCUUGACUCUGGGAUAACUUCAGGAAACUGGGGCUAAUACCGGAUAGGAGCUCCUGCUGCAUGGUGGGGGUUGGAAAGUUUCGGCGGUUGGGGAUGGACUCGCGGCUUAUCAGCUUGUUGGUGGGGUAGUGGCUUACCAAGGCUUUGACGGGUAGCCGGCCUGAGAGGGUGACCGGCCACAUUGGGACUGAGAUACGGCCCAGACUCCUACGGGAGGCAGCAGUGGGGAAUAUUGCACAAUGGGCGGAAGCCUGAUGCAGCAACGCCGCGUGCGGGAUGACGGCCUUCGGGUUGUAAACCGCUUUCGCCUGUGACGAAGCGUGAGUGACGGUAAUGGGUAAAGAAGCACCGGCUAACUACGUGCCAGCAGCCGCGGUGAUACGUAGGGUGCGAGCGUUGUCCGGAUUUAUUGGGCGUAAAGGGCUCGUAGGUGGUUGAUCGCGUCGGAAGUGUAAUCUUGGGGCUUAACCCCUGAGCGUGCUUUCGAUACGGGUUGACUUGAGGAAGGUAGGGGAGAAUGGAAUUCCUGGUGGAGCGGUGGAAUGCGCAGAUAUCAGGAGGAACACCAGUGGCGAAGGCGGUUCUCUGGGCCUUUCCUGACGCUGAGGAGCGAAAGCGUGGGGAGCGAACAGGCUUAGAUACCCUGGUAGUCCACGCUGUAAACGGUGGGUACUAGGUGUGGGGUCCAUUCCACGGGUUCCGUGCCGUAGCUAACGCUUUAAGUACCCCGCCUGGGGAGUACGGCCGCAAGGCUAAAACUCAAAGGAAUUGACGGGGCCCCGCACAAGCGGCGGAGCAUGCGGAUUAAUUCGAUGCAACGCGUAGAACCUUACCUGGGUUUGACAUGGAUCGGGAGUGCUCAGAGAUGGGUGUGCCUCUUUUGGGGUCGGUUCACAGGUGGUGCAUGCCUGUCGUCAGCUCGUGUCGUGAGAUGUUGGGUUAAGUCCCGCAACGAGCGCAACCCUUGUUCACUGUUGCCAGCACGUUAUGGUGGGGACUCAGUGGAGACCGCCGGGGUCAACUCGGAGGAAGGUGGGGAUGACGUCAAGUCCUCAUGCCCCUUAUGUCCAGGGCUUCACGCAUGCUACAAUGGCUGGUACAGAGAGUGGCGAGCCUGUGAGGGUGAGCGAAUCUCGGAAAGCCGGUCUCAGUUCGGAUUGGGGUCUGCAACUCGACCUCAUGAAGUCGGAGUCGCUAGUAAUCGCAGAUCAGCAACGCUGCGGUGAAUACGUUCCCGGGGCU
rnacentral:rRNA from 1 species